CUGAGAGAAGAUUGGGAAGGGCUGAUUAAUAUUAUAAGCUUUCCAUAAUUUCAGGGGAGUGUAUGACCUACUUCCUGAUGUUUCACUAAACUUCAGGGUCAAUUUGAAUUCAAACUCACACAGCUACUUACAUUGUUAUUAUUUGGCUAUCAGUAUGUUGCAAGAUCUGGUUCCAACAACCUGUGCUUUGUUGUUGGGGUAGUUUGGGAAGCAGCCCUGGAGCAUUGCGCAGGCAGUGAAUCCGGUACGGAGACCAACAUCGCAGAGGCAGUCCUGGCAUUUACCUUGGAGCAGCUGAGUGCUGGUACGGUGUGGACUGAGGCUUGGGGCGGUGUGGGGAUGGCUGUUGGACUGGGGUCUGGUGCAGGUGGUCAGCCCUGCGCUGAGCUGCUACACUGUAAUGUCUAUUUGAAUUUUCCUACAUUACUGCAAUGUCAACCC